AGGUCUGCGGCUUUCCAGGUGAUUGGGAAGAAACUUCUGGAAGUCAGAGCCAGCUUCCAUCCAGCUGGAGCAGCAACUCCAGGCUGGCAAUCUGACUUGGAAGAAAUUGAUUUCAAAAUGGAUCUGGGAGAGUAAAAGGGCCAAGAAUAACUGAGAAGCAAUUGUGAAAAAGUAGAACGUGGAACAACUUGCCCUACCAGGUUGAAAAAUAACAAAGAAAAAGUUUUAAGUUUUCAAAUUGGACUGGAUUAAUCACAGUUCUCGGCCCAUAGCCCACUAUGUUUACUGGUCUGUGCCAGGCCCCUCUCUUACU